AAUACCGGAUAGGAGCGUCCACCGCAUGGUGGGUGUUGGAAAGAUUUAUCGGUUUUGGAUGGACUCGCGGCCUAUCAGCUUGUUGGUGAGGUAAUGGCUCACCAAGGCGACGACGGGUAGCCGGCCUGAGAGGGUGACCGGCCACACUGGGACUGAGACACGGCCCAGACUCCUACGGGAGGCAGCAGUGGGGAAUAUUGCACAAUGGGCGCAAGCCUGAUGCAGCGACGCCGCGUGAGGGAUGACGGCCUUCGGGUUGUAAACCUCUUUCAGUAGGGAAGAAGCGAAAGUGACGGUACCUGCAGAAGAAGCACCGGCUAACUACGUGCCAGCAGCCGCGGUAAUACGUAGGGUGCGAGCGUUAUCCGGAAUUAUUGGGCGUAAAGAGCUCGUAGGCGGUUUGUCGCGUCUGUCGUGAAAGUCCGGGGCUUAACCCCGGAUCUGCGGUGGGUACGGGCAGACUAGAGUGCAGUAGGGGAGACUGGAAUUCCUGGUGUAGCGGUGGAAUGCGCAGAUAUCAGGAGGAACACCGAUGGCGAAGGCAGGUCUCUGGGCUGUAACUGACGCUGAGGAGCGAAAGCAUGGGGAGCGAACAGGAUUAGAUACCCUGGUAGUCCAUGCCGUAAACGUUGGGCACUAGGUGUGGGGACCAUUCCACGGUUUCCGCGCCGCAGCUAACGCAUUAAGUGCCCCGCCUGGGGAGUACGGCCGCAAGGCUAAAACUCAAAGGAAUUGACGGGGGCCCGCACAAGCGGCGGAGCAUGCGGAUUAAUUCGAUGCAACGCGAAGAACCUUACCAAGGCUUGACAUGUUCUCGAUCGCCGUAGAGAUACGGUUUCCCCUUUGGGGCGGGUUCACAGGUGGUGCAUGGUUGUCGUCAGCUCGUGUCGUGAGAUGUUGGGUUAAGUCCCGCAACGAGCGCAACCCUCGUUCCAUGUUGCCAGCACGUCGUGGUGGGGACUCAUGGGAGACUGCCGGGGUCAACUCGGAGGAAGGUGAGGACGACGUCAAAUCAUCAUGCCCCUUAUGUCUUGGGCUUCACGCAUGCUACAAUGGCCGGUACAAUGGGUUGCGAUACUGUGAGGUGGAGCUAAUCCCAAAAAGCCGGUCUCAGUUCGGAUUGGGGUCUGCAACUCGACCCCAUGAAGUCGGAGUCGCUAGUAAUCGCAGAUCAGCAACGCUGCGGUGAAUACGUUCCCGGGCCUUUGUACACACCGCCCGUCAAGUCACGAAAGUUGGUAACACCCGAAGCCGGUGGCCUAACCCUUGU
rnacentral:rRNA from 1 species